GGGUGCCCGAGUGGCGAACGGGUGAGUAACACGUGAGUAACCUGCCCUUGACUUUGGGAUAACUUCAGGAAACUGGGGCUAAUACCGGAUAGGAGCUCCUGCUGCAUGGUGGGGGUUGGAAAGUUUCGGCGGUUGGGGAUGGACUCGCGGCUUAUCAGCUUGUUGGUGGGGGUAGUGGCUUACCAAGGCUUUGACGGGUAGCCGGCCUGAGAGGGUGACCGGCCACAUUGGGACUGAGAUACGGCCCAG
rnacentral:rRNA from 1 species